ACUUUCUUUUUCGAUUGGGCUUCAUCAUACGGUUUAUUAUGUGAGGCCCAUCUAUCACACAAGUACGAAACGUAAUCCGUGUUGUUUGCUUCUUCGUCAUCUUCGUUCAUCUUUGAUCGGCGAUGUGACGAUGCAGAUUCCGUAACGAGAUCUCUCCUCUGCGAAUCGCGCUCUCCACAUCUCUGUUCUACUCAUCUGAAUCAUAUUCAUCUUUGUUCUCAUCUCUAUUCUACUCAUCUUAAUCAUUCAUAUUCAUAUAUCAUAGCUUAUGUGGAUGGAUUUUCUCAUGGUGGAUGUUAACGCGAGUCAUUUUUCUGUUUCCUUCUAUGUAUCAAUAGUUCUAGGUUUUUAUCAACCAUCGUACUGUUAUUAUUUCCCGGUGAGUCCUAGGCCGUUUUUGAAUUUUGAUAGUGUUUCCGAUUAACCUGAUCGUGUUGUAAGUUUUUUUUUACGAUUUCACAACAUCUUUUUUAUGCCAUACGCCAAAUUAGACUGAGAUGGAAACUUCCAUUUGCGUAAAGUUUUAAGUCUACAAACUUCAUAUCCUGUUUAUAUCUUUGGUAUCUUUGUUUCUAGAAAUUGAUGUUUCUCAUUCAGAUGGCUUUGACUUGGUGUCAAUUGACUGAAUGGAAUAAGCAGUCUUCUGCGUAGGAGGUCAUGCACAGGACUCAAAGAGACAUGGAUGUUCAUGAAAGAAACAAUGAAGCACAUACUCCACUACUGCACGCACAUGUUCACAUGUAAGGCUUUGACCCACUGGGUGGCGUUGGUCCAUCAGCAGCGUCGAGCUCAAAGAUGGAGGUAGGCCAAUGAAGUCAAGAAUCUAACGUUUGUCACUUAGGAAGACUGCUAACGACGUUGACGAAUUUAUCAGGUAAUGAUUCUUUUCGUCAUGACAUGCCUUGGUGGAAGGAGGAGGACUCUGCAUCAUCUUCUUUGCUUCAAGUUUCUCUUUUGGUUUGUUUUAGAGUCAAAGAAAGGCAGCGUAACAUUUACCUCUGGAACAAGCAGCCAUAGAAUUCUAAAAAAAAAAUUCAAUGCAACUCAAGAAGUGUUAAUCAGAUUGUGAAACGCAAAAUGUGAUGGUUAUGCUUCGGAAAUAUCAAGUAUACUCUUGAUAUGACUUGGUUUCAAAAUAUUAAGCUUAUGACCAUA